CUCAAUUUUUUCCUUACUAAUUUAUAUAUUUGAUAUUUUCAUCAUCAAGUCUUUACGUCACUGUUUAGAUUAUAUCUUUUAAUAUUAUGCACAUAAAUUCCAUUUAACAGUAAUUUAAUCUACAUUUUUUUUAAAUUAUAAAAUACUUUUUGACUCUAAUCUUCUAAAUUAUAUUAAUUAUAAUUUACCUACUAAUUUUUUUAUAAUGACACCUAUACUAUUGUCUUUUAACUAAAAGAUAAUAAUCUCAAAUGUACAAAAGAUGACAAGUUGAACAAAUUUGUUAUUCUUCCUAAUGAUACACAUGACACAAUUUUAUGGGACUAUGUAAAGACAUCUGAUGUAGAUCUUUUAUCCGCAGACCCAGUUCAUAGCUAAUACCAUACAAAAACUGAUGCAUAGGCUUGAUUCCUUGAAACAUGGAAAGUCAAAUUAUCACAUAAUCUCUCAUCUCCACCAUUAUAUGGACUUGUUAAGACUCAAACAACCAGUAAUCAAUGGUUGAUAAAUCACAUUCACCACUUACUCCCUUGGAGAAGAAACUAACAUAGUGUUUAAUGAAAAUGACAGACUACAUGUGCACAGUGAACUCUUCAAAAUUCCUGCAAUGUUUAACUUCUCAUAAUCUACAAGAAACAGAUACAUUUAUUGUCGCAGAUUAUUCAGAACUUCUUCCCAUCCAUAAGUUUAGCCCCAGCAUGCCUAUUUUAUACAGAUUUUUGUUUUGAGAAUUCACAGAGGAUGGCAGUCACAUCUUGUCUUUUAACAGACUUCUGCCACUUAAUAGCAUUUAAUUCAGUUUAUCUAUAUAAAGAGUCUUAUUUCAAACAAAAUGUAGGAGUCCCAAUAGCUGGUUCAAUGAUAGGUAACAUGGCUGAACUAGUUAUUAAGGGUAAGGAACAAACUGUCCUAUCCAUUGUAAACAUACAUACAUCUCAUGCUAAGGUACAUGGAUGAUGUAUUUGUCAUCUCUGAUAAAAUUACAUUUACACCAAAUAUGUUGUCUUCCUUUAUAGAUCACUCCUUGGGUUUACAUCUUAAAAUUGAGCAAUAGUCCAAGCAUAACAUAGAUGCAGAUAUUGUAAUAAAAGACAGAACAUUUUAUAUAUCAGCCUAUAGAAAAGAUAUUU
rnacentral:lncRNA from 1 species